rnacentral:lncRNA from 1 species
AAUCCUGUCUGGACUCAAAGGAAAAAUCGUAAUUGGCAGAUACUCUCUCAGUUACUCCCAGGUUGCAGUUAAUGAGCAGCCUGUUCGCCUGCAGCCUUUAGACAGGGAACAAGGGGCGCAGCCUUUCCCACUUUAUUGGUUACUGACUGGCAAAGAAGGAUUCCACUAGCACUGCUUGGCUAUCAAAGCUGGGCAAUGUGGUCCUCUAAGCCACAUGUUUAGGAAUUCACAAAACAAUUGUGGAGGCUGGCAAUUCCAACAUCUGAGGAGUAGGUAAACUGGAAGACUAGAGACCCUGGGAAGAGUUGAUGUUGCAGCUUGAAUCUGAAGGCAGCCUGCUGGAAGAAUCCCCUCUUUCUUGUAGAAGCCCCUUGACUGGGCAAACUUCAAACAAGGUGACUGAGCUCCCUUAGCUGCCACUGAUUGGAUCAGGAUGGACAACAAAUGUAGGAGGAGUUCAUCUGGAUCUAGCCUGAGCCAGUCAGAUGUCCCCUUUGAAUCCAUGCCUAUAGAAAUACAAAAAAUGGAAGCCAGAGGAUGAUGGAUCCUUGAAGUAAUAAGUCAGGUAGAUCUUGAAAAUUUUUGACUCAAUCCAUAUUGAUGAACACAAGAAUAAUUCUGGUCUAC